AGUAAUACUUGGGUAAUCUACCCUUGAGAGGGAAACAACCUGCCGAAAGGUGAGCUAAUGUCCCAUAAGACCACAGGGAUGCAUAUUCCAGAGGUCAAAGCUCCGCAAGGGGCGCUUGAGGAGGAAUCCGAGUCCUAUCAGGUUGUUGGUGAGGUAACGGCUCACCAAGCCUAUGACGGGUAGCCGGCCUGAAAGGGUGACCGGCCACACUGGCACUGAGACACGGGCCAG
rnacentral:rRNA from 1 species